rnacentral:rRNA from 1 species
CCUACGAGAGGCAGCAGUAGGGAAUAUUGCUCAAUGGGGGAAACCCUGAAGCAGCAACGCCGCGUGGAGGAUGAAGGUUUUCGGAUUGUAAACUCCUUUUGUUAGAGAAGAUAAUGACGGUAUCUAACGAAUAAGCACCGGCUAACUCCGUGCCAGCAGCCGAGGUAAUACGGAGGGUGCAAGCGUUACUCGGAAUCACUGGGCGGAAAAAGCGCGUAGGCGGGAUAGCAAGUCAGAUGUGAAAGCCGAUGGCUUAACCAUAUAACUGCAUUUGAAACUGUUAUUCUAGAGUAUGGGAGAGGUAGGUGGAAUUCUUGGUGUAGGGGUAAAAUCCGUAGAGAGCAAGAGGAAUACUCAGUGCGAAGGCGACCUGCUAGAACAUAACUGACGCUGAUGCGCGAAAGCGUGGGGAGCAAACAGGAUUAGAUACCCUUGUAGUC